rnacentral:lncRNA from 1 species
UUUCAUCGUGCUAAAACGUUUCGCACGAUGAAAUGUUGCGUCGUGCUUUGUGCAACACUUUUGCCCGAUGGAGUCUCUAGUUCGUUCGAUAGACUCUCUAUAAAGACGAAUUUUGGUUAGUCGCAUAAAACUCUAUCUAAGUUUUUUCUACUAGUGAGUUCAUGUAAGACUCAUGUUGAGUUGUCAAUUAUUAUGAAUCGAAUUACUUAAAAGGAAAAUAACUUGAUCUUCAAGAUAUUUGAAUUUGAACGUGAUUCAAUAUCAGUUAGCAAGAAUCAAGGAUCCAAGAUAUAUUUUGUUGACUAAUUGAAACCCUAAUUAAGUAUGACAUAUUGUACAUGCCUUGGUGGGACAACAUUAAGAUUAAAUGGUGAUUUGGUGUAUUCCUCCAAUUACUAUAAUAGGCGGAAUUGGAGGAACCCUAAUCACUAUAUUAACGGUGUCCCUGCUUCGACAAAAUACAUGUUCCAUUCCAAGCAAACCCUAUUAUUGCUGAAACACUUCCGCUUGUUGAAAGUAGAAGACUCAUUUGUCAUCUGCAAGAGGUAUGUCUUCCGUAUUCCAAAAAAACAGUAAAUUGUAAUUGAUUUAUUGUAAUUUUGGUUUAUCAAAUCCGUGAUCCUAAUGUCUUGUUAUUAUUCUUAUGAUUUCAGAAAUAUCUUACAGUUCAAUCUAUGUGCUUUUUAUUUACUAUAAAACGAAAAUUAAAAAAUGCUAACAAUCUUCUCAUUUGAAUAUUUCGGGUCUAAUUCUCAUCCUACAUUGUUGCACAAUUAGUUGCUAUCCUCGAUGGGAUAAUUAAUUGAGGUGAUUGACAUUUUAAUCCACCUAAUAAAUUAGCAUUUUAAUUUUUGGCUUAUUCAACCGAGAUAAAAAUUAAAGGAAAUGUCACUUAGUACUACGGUCUAGUGGUAUUUCUCUUCACUUAUAAAUGAGAGGUCUUGGGUUGAUUCACGCCAAAAGCAAAUUCGAACCAAAUUCUUAUCGCUAAUGAGGAUUUGCAAUUAAUUAACAAAGUACAAUGAAUUGGAUUAUGAUAAAAACAAAAGAUUACUUAGGCAUGAACGUUAGCAAUUGGAACUUAAGAAUAUUGUGUCCAACGAGAUUAGGUGUUACCUAUGUAUCAAAAACGAGAUAGGGAUAGACUAUUAUAGAGAACCUGUAUUCACCAUUUAAGACCUCUUAUAUAUUUCAUUGUUCUCCUAUUUUUCUCACAGGAGUCCUACUAUAUGGCAAGUAAGUAUAUGGUUCCGUGCGGAAGUUUUAUUUUAUUUUAUUUUAUUUUAUUUUUCAAACAAUAUAUUUUGUUAGAUUAGCCGCUGAGGGGGUUUGAAUCCACCUCAUCACGCAAGCGCUCAACGCCUUUCCACUACUGUGGUAAAAGGCCACUUGCAUCCAUAGGGAAGUUCUAUCUAUCCGUUUUUGCCCCAAUGAAAUGAGACCUACGUUAAGAAAGAGACCUUAUUCAACAAGACAUAACGUAAGGUUAUAUAUAUAUAUAUAUAUGAACAUCAAUAGUAUUAGAGUAUUAGAGUCUGAUAAUAAAAUAAUCAUAAACUCAAAAGAUCAGACCUAUUUUAAUAAAAUGGACUAUAUUACUAAUAUUGUAGGAAAAAAUGGAACUUAUAAAAAGUUUUUUCAUAUUAAAAUUGGUAAAUUCUAGGUUGGUAUUUAACUCCUUUGAUCAGAUCAUCUCCAAGGAAUACUUCAACAAACUCCUCAAGUAUAAUUUGUACUCUAGUUCGUCGGUAUUAGAUUUCACCAGGAUUGCAACUAGCAAAGGUACGAUUGAAUGAAAUUAUCGACAAAACAAGAUAGUACUUUGGACAGGAACGUUACCAAUUGCAACUAACAAAGUACAAUGGAUGGGAUUAUCAUAAAAACAAAAAUUACUUAGACAGGAACGUUAGCAAUUGGAACUUAAGAAUAUUGUGCACAAUAAACCAAAUGACAAGAUUGGUGUGACCUAUGUAGCAAAAACGAGACAGGGAUUGACAGUACGUAUUCACCAUCUAAGACCUCUUAAUAUCCGAAAAGCUAAGAUUGCGUCUGAAAAGUGCUAACAAACUUUAUUCAGGAAAAUUUGGCUUUUCAAACUCGGUGAGCGGUGACUCUUCGAUUUCUGAACAAGUGGCCCUGUUGCCUCUUCUUUUAUAGAGGCAUCAAUUGUGUUCAAAAAACACACUCAAAAAGUUGCGGCCU